rnacentral:rRNA from 1 species
UACGAAGGGGGCUAGCGUUGCUCGGAAUUACUGGGCGUAAAGCGCACGUAGGCGGCUUUUUAAGUCGGAGGUGAAAUCCUGGAGCUCAACUCCAGAACUGCCUUCGAUACUGAAGAGCUCGAGUCCGGGAGAGGUGAGUGGAACUGCGAGUGUAGAGGUGAAAUUCGUAGAUAUUCGCAAGAACACCAGUGGCGAAGGCGGCUCACUGGCCCGGUACUGACGCUGAGGUGCGAAAGCGUGGGUAGCAAACAGG